UUCUUCCACGUCUCCACAAACAUUGAGCACUGGAAAAUACACGAUACGGAGGUGCACGUAUAGUCAAUACGUGUAUAAAUUCUGAUAAAGCUACUUAAUUCUCUGGCGACCGAUUUGGACUGCAUGCUGAGCGAGCUGUGCACUACUUCCAAUUCCUACGAACGAUUUCUGGGCUGGUCUCGCGCCACUGUCACUUGCAGCCUCAACAAGGGAGCUUUAAAAGAGAGGGGAUGAAGCGCAGAAUUGAAAUGAAAUUCCGACCUCAGCUCCCACAGUUGAAUUAUUAUCGGCUAGUAAUCUUACUAAAAAGUUUGCCUUCACUUCGGACUCGCGAUCUAUUCUUUUUCUUUUCUUGUUGAUAUAAAGAAAGAAAAAGUCAAAAGGAAGUACGUAU